rnacentral:rRNA from 1 species
UUUAAUCGUUNAACAAACGAACCCUUAAUAGCUGCUGCACCAGUAGGAUGUCCUGAUCCAACAUCGAGGUCGUAAACCCCCUUGUUGAUAUGGUCUCUAAAAGGGGAUUGCGCUGUUAUCCCUAGAGUAACUCGGUCCGUUGAUCGGCACUGCCGGAUCUAUAGGUCAAAAAUUUUGUUUCUUAGAGCUGGGGCUCUUAGUUUAAGGAGUUGUACUCCCGUUCCACGUGGGGGUUUUUUCUUUCCCCGCGGUCGCCCCAACCAAAGACAUCGGGGUAGGGGGCCUUUUGGUUUGUCCCCUUGUUAGGGGGCCAUUGUAUCUUGGGCUACCUUACGUCUAAAGCUUCAUAGGGUCUUCUCGUCUUAUGUACUUAUCCCCGCUUCUGCACGGGGAGAUCAAUUUCAUUAACUUAGGGGAGGAGACAGCUAAGCCCUCGUUGUGC